rnacentral:lncRNA from 1 species
UUUUUAACAAAUGUUAUAAUCGAAUAUUUAAAAGUUUUUCAUACGAUCAAUUCACUUUUUAUUAUUAUUUUCAUGAUAAUUGUUUUAAAUGACAAAUAAAAUAUAUUAAUAAGGGAGAAAAACUAUGUAUAAGAGAAAAAGUCCACAAAUCACAAGAAGUGCCUGAAGAUAACAAAUGAUAAAAAAAAAUAUACAACGAUAACAAUAAAU